rnacentral:rRNA from 1 species
CUCGUGUCGUGAGAUGUUCGGGUUAAGUCCCGCAACGAGCGCAACCCUUAUUGCUAGUUACCAUCAUUGAGUUGGGGACUCUAGCGAGACUGCCAGCGAUAAGGCUGGAGGAAGGUGGGAUGACGUCAAAUCAUCAUGCCCCUUAUGACCUGGGCUACAAACGUGAUACAAUGGCUGGAACAAAGGGAGGCGAAGGGGUGACCUGGAGCGAAACCCAAAAAUACAGUCUCAGUUCGGAUUGAAGUCUGCAACUCGACUUCAUGAAGUCGGAAUCGCUAGUAAUCGCGGAUCAGAACGCCGCGGUGAAUACGUUCUCGGGGUUU